rfam:Schistosoma rodhaini strain Burundi genome assembly, scaffold: SROB_scaffold0003078
AUCCAGUUGACGAGUCCCAAAUAGGUCAAAACGCGCGUUCUGGAU